rnacentral:rRNA from 1 species
UACGGAGGAUGCGAGCGUUAUCCGGAUUUAUUGGGUUUAAAGGGUGCGUAGGCGGGAUGCCAAGUCAGCGGUAAAAAUGCGGUGCUCAACGCCGUCGGGCCGUUGAAACUGGCGUUCUUGAGUGGGCGAGAAGUAUGCGGAAUGCGUGGUGUAGCGGUGAAAUGCAUAGAUAUCACGCAGAACUCCGAUUGUGAAGGCAGCAUACCGGCGCCCUACUGACGCUGAGGCACGAAAGCGUGGGUAUCGAACAGG